CGCGGGUGAGUCUGCCUUGGUCAGGUUUCUUGUUUACAAAGUUGCUUUUUUCUCUGUUUCCGUGCUGUGCUCCCUGGAAGGAAGUCUCCAUGUGCAGCCCACACUGAGGGAAAUACAAGGCCACUCAUGACUGUGUGACCUGGGCAGGCUACUUAACCUCUGUGUCUCAGUUUCCUUAUCUGGGAAACAGGCUGAUAUUCCCACCACACAGGGCUGUCGCUGGCUGGCACAUGGAACGUUCAGAACGGUGUCUGGUUGUAGUAAGUGCUAUAAGCCUGGGGCAACAGCAAGACGGCAGCAGCCAUGGCGAGGCAGAAGAGUCAACGCCAGCCCAGGAAGCAUCAGGAAGUCCACAUCAGGGGAGUGAGAUGGACAGAGAUCAAGGAAGGUGGAACAUUCUAGAGGCCUGAGACCCAGUUGGCUGCCCUCACACUGGACAGACAAGGAAGUUGCCCUGUAACCCUCACCAGAAGCCUGGAGAUAAUUUUAGAGGCCUGCCUGGAGUUUGAAGAACGCUCCUGAAAGAGAGGGACUCAGCUGGUGCAACCCUUCCCCUUUCCUCUUUCUCCUUGCUUUGAACAUGGAUCUAAUGGCAGGAGCUAAGGCAGCCAUCUUGUGACCAUGAGGAAAGAGACUGACAGCAGUUUCAGCCGGGCAUGCCUCAGCCAUUGAACAGCACCUUAGAUUUCUCACGUGAGAAAAAUAAAUUCCUGUUUGUUUAAAUCACUGAAGUAGUUUUUUG
rnacentral:lncRNA from 10 species